ensembl:lncRNA uncharacterized LOC103096939
CGAAAUCCUUAAUGAUGAGAAGUGGUAACUUCAAGAAACCAAGAGGGCAGUGAACUAUUUUGAUAGAGAGAAAGAUGAUGAGAAGAAGAGCAAAGGUGCAUCCGACAGGUCUCAGUCUCUUGACAAGCUCGGAGAAUGAAUUUGUGUUUCUUUUGAGGAAUUAUCUAAUGCUAUCCCUACAACAAAGAUGUGGAUUAACCUUUACCCAUCCUGGGACCAAGGAUGGGACAGUAAGCAUGAAGGAAGCAGGAUAACAUUUAUGAAAAGCAAAUUGUGGUAAGGUGGGCGCCUAUCCCCUUGUUUGCCCCUCUUCCCCUUGUUUGGAUUUGUAUUAAACGAAGAAUGUGGGUUAACCUUUGAACACCUGCCUAUCCCUGGACCAAGAUUAGGAUUUCUGGAAUGUGAAGUCAUAAACUCCUGUGGGCUUUGCCUAGUGGUUUCUUUUUGCCUAUAUAAGUUCUGUGGGAGACAAAUAAAACUGGCACUAUUUCUCUCUUUCA